GAGUUUGAUCGUGGCUCAGGAUGAACGCUAGCUACAGGCUUAACACAUGCAAGUCGAGGGGCAUCAGGAAGGAAGCUUGCUUUCUUCGCUGGCGACCGGCGCACGGGUGAGUAACACGUAUCCAACCUGGCCGAUGACUCGGGGAUAGCCUUUCGAAAGAAAGAUUAAUACCCGAUGGCAUAGUUCUUCCGCAUGGUAGGACUAUUAAAGAAUUUCGGUCAUCGAUGGGGAUGCGUUCCAUUAGCUUGUUGGCGGGGUAACGGCCCACCAAGGCAUCGAUGGAUAGGGGUUCUGAGAGGAAGGUCCCCCACAUUGGAACUGAGACACGGUCCAAACUCCUACGGGAGGCAGCAGUGAGGAAUAUUGGUCAAUGGGCGCUAGCCUGAACCAGCCAAGUAGCGUGAAGGAUGACUGCCCUAUGGGUUGUAAACUUCUUUUAUAUGGGAAUAAAGUGCAGUAUGUAUACUGCUUUGCAUGUACCUUAUGAAUAAGGAUCGGCUAACUCCGUGCCAGCCG
rnacentral:rRNA from 1 species